rnacentral:rRNA from 1 species
GGGAAAUCUUACCGGGUCCGGACACACUGAGGAUUGACAGGCGCUUGCAUAGCGGCCCGCCACACUUCGGUGUGGUGGUGUUCCGCCAAUGCUUUCAAAUAUGCUAGUCCUUUCAUGAUUGUGUGAUAGGUGGUGCAUGGCCGUUCUUAGUUCGUGGAGUGAUCUGUCUGSUUAAUUGCGUUUCACAAGGGACUUGAAUGGCAUACGUUGGGCCAGUGCGCCCUCCUUUCGCUGCCCCCACGUGGGGCCGGAGGAGUGCCGCGCCUGGCUUUCAAUCGCCAACAUCCCGAAGGCAACGA